rnacentral:rRNA from 1 species
CAGCAGUGGGGGAUAUUGCACAAUGGGGGGAACCCUGAUGCAGCGACGCCGCGUGGGUGAAGGAGCGUUUCGGCGCGUAAAGCCCUAUCGGCAGGGAAGAAGGAGGACGGUACCUGACUAAGAAGCCCCGGCUAACUACGUGCC